AUACGACGUAAAAUAAAAAGGCAAAAUACACCCAAAUAUGGCCGCAAAAAAUGGUUGCGAAAUUUUUGCAAUUCUGCAAUAUUGAUUACGGGUCGAAAAUAUAGACACCGUAUGAUGCAUAAAAUGAUGAAAUACACGUUGAAAAUUCUUCAAACUGUAGAUAUGAGGAUAACUUGGAACUCGCCACAGGGAAGGUCUUCUCCACACCGGUCGGUACUUUUGUGCCCAAAUGCAGCCUCCCACUCGCAGAUUCUUCUUAAUGACGCAAAUAUGGUCUCAAAGUACGAGGGGAUCGUAUACAGACGCAGCUUACUAUCUGUGCAGACUCACGUAUAUUCCGCCGGUAAUUUAGUGGAUAAAAAGGACUUAUAUUCCACUCGAAGGACUAAUUCAUUUGCUCGAAGGACCAAUUCUUUUGUUUAGCACAAAGAUAAGUUUGAUAAUGAACUUCACUGAUUUUAAUUAAUUAAUUUUGUGGAAGUAAAAUAAAACCACCAUUAUAGUUACAUGGUUAAA
rnacentral:lncRNA from 1 species